rnacentral:rRNA from 1 species
CACGUAGGGUGCGAGCGUUGUCCGGAAUUAUUGGGCGUAAAGAGCUCGUAGGCGGUGUGUCGCGUCGGCCGUGAAAACUUGGGGCUUAACUCUGAGCGUGCGGUCGAUACGGGCAUCACUUGAGUUCGGCAGGGGAGACUGGAAUUCCUGGUGUAGCGGUGAAAUGCGCAGAUAUCGGGAAGAACACCCGUGGCGAAGGCGGCUCUCUGGGACGGUACUGACGCUGAGACGCGAAAGCGUGGGGAGCAAGCAGG